AAAGCAUAAAACAUUUCAGGUGCUGCAUGGCAGAUAAUAGGGAACUAAGUGAGAUUCUUAGACGGGCCCGCCGCUGUAAGUGGAUUGCCCGGCUCAUCACCACUGUCCAAAAGGAUGGGAAGGGAGCCCGGCGUUAAUCCUCAGUCAGAAAACCUGCCUGAAAUGUGUCGACGGU
rfam:Eubacterium limosum KIST612, complete genome.